rnacentral:rRNA from 1 species
AUUGAACGCUGGCGGCAUGCCUUACACAUGCAAGUCGAACGGCAGCGCGGACUUCGGUCUGGCGGCGAGUGGCGAACGGGUGAGUAACAUAUCGGAACGUGCCCUGGAGUGGGGGAUAACUAGUCGAAAGACUAGCUAAUACCGCAUACGAUCUACGGAUGAAAGUGGGGGAUCGCAAGACCUCAUGCUCGUGGAGCGGCCGAUAUCUGAUUAGCUAGUUGGUGGGGUAAAGGCCUACCAAGGCAUCGAUCAGUAGCUGGUCUGAGAGGACGACCAGCCACACUGGGACUGAGACACGGCCCAGACUCCUACGGGAGGCAGCAGUGGGGAAUUUUGGACAAUGGGGGCAACCCUGAUCCAGCAAUGCCGCGUGAGUGAAGAAGGCCUUCGGGUUGUAAAGCUCUUUUGUCAGGGAAGGAACGGUCUGGGCUAAUAUCCUGGACUAAUGACGGUACCUGAAGAAUAAGCACCGGCUAACUACGUGCCAGCCGCCGCAGUAACAC